GGCCAGUUAGCUCACUCAGUUGAGCAUGGCGCUAACAACGCCAAGGUCGUAGGUUCAAUUCCCGUUCGGUCCC
rnacentral:tRNA from 1 species